CGCUAACACAUGCAUGUCGAACGAAGGCUUCGAGCCUUAGUGGCGCACGGGUGCGUAACGCGUGGGAAUCUGCCCCUUGAGUUCGGAAUAACAGUUGGAAACGACUGCUAAUACCGGAUGAUGACGUAAGUCCAUAGAUUUAUCAGCCGAGCGGAUGAGCCCGCGUAGGAUUACGUACUUGGUGUGGUAAAGGCGCACCAAAGUCCGACGAUCCUUAGCUGGUCUGAGAGGAUGAUCACCCACACUGGGACUGAUACACUGGCCCAGACUCCUACGGGAGGCAGCAGUGGGGAAUAUCGGACAAUGGGCGAAAGCCUGAUCCAGCAAUGCCGCGUGAGUGAUGAAGGCCUUAGGGUUGUAAAGCUCUUUUACCCGGGAUGAUAAUGACAGUACCGGGAGAAUAAGCUCCGGCUAACUCCGUGCCAGCAGCCGCGGUAAUACGGAGGGAGCUAGCGUUAUUCGGAAUUA
rnacentral:rRNA from 1 species